CAACCCCCUCUGACUUUCAGUGUUCCACAUUCCCCGGUCAGAGCCUCCUCGGCUUCUUUUUUUCCCUCUCUCCCCUCUUCCCCCGCCACAGCUGCCUCCAUUUCCUUAAGGAAGAGUUUUUUUCUCUUUUCCUCCCCCACACCAUAGUGGCGUGUGAACAGGCCAGGCAGGCGGCUGAGUUUUCCAAGCGAUAACUUCACCAAGAUGUCCAGUGAUAGGCAAAGGUCUGAUGGUGACAGCCCCAGCAUCAGCAGUGGCAGAUGUGGACAAGCAAGACCCAGCCGCUCCAGAGGCUGAAGAACAUGAGGAAAGAAAACCUUCUGCCACCCAGCAGAAGAAAAACACCAAACUCUCUAGCAAAACCACUGCUAAGUUAUCCACUAGUGCUAAAAGAAUUCAGAAGGAGCUAGCUCAAAUAACCCUUGAUCCUUCUCCUAAUUGCAGUGCUGGGCCUGAGGAGAUAACAUUUAUGAAUGGAGAUCAACUAUACUUGGUCCACCGGGUUCUGUAUAUGAAGGUGGUGUGUUUUUUCUGGAUAUCACAUUUUCAUCAGAUUAUCCAUUUAAGCCACCAAAGGUUACUUUCCACAUCAGAAUCUAUCACUGCAACAUCAACAGUCAGGGAGUCAUCUGUCUGGACAUCCUUAAAGACAACUGGAGUCCCGCUUUGACUAUUUCAAAGGUUUUGCUGUCCAUUUGUUCCCUUUUGACAGAUUGCAACCCUGCAGAUCCUCGGGUGGAAGCAUAGCCACUCCGUAUUUGACCAACAGCACAGAACACGACAGGAUAGCCAGACAGCGGACCAAGAGAUACACAACAUAAUUCACAUAAUUUGUAUGCAGUGUGAAGGAGCAGAAGGCAUCUUCUCACUGUGCUGCAAAGCUUUAUAGCCUUUACGAUAUGAACUUCUGUGUAUAUGUUACAGUGAUUCUACUCUGCUUUUAUCCUUUGGAGUCUGGGAGACUGCCCAAAAAGGUAAAUGCGAUCAAGAGUAGA